rnacentral:rRNA from 1 species
CAGUCGCCACGGUAAUACGAACCGUGCGAACGUUAUUCGGAAUUACUGGGCUUAAAGCGCGUGUAGGCGGGCCGCCACGUCGGUUGCUGAAAUCCCCCGGCUCAACCGGGGAAGUGGCAUCGAUACGAGCGGCCUUGAGGGGGGUAGGGGGAUCUGGAACUUCCGGUGGAGCGGUGAAAUGCGUUGAGAUCGGAGGGAACGCCCGUGGCGAAAGCGAGGUCCUGGACCCUUUCUGACGCUGAGAGACGAAAGCUAGGGGAGCAAAUGGGAUUAGAGACCCGCGUAGUCCCUGUCUCUUAUA